rnacentral:lncRNA from 1 species
AUGUUCCUCUACUCUCUCCCUCCUUUUCUUCCUCUCUCUCUCCCUCUCCCUUUCUCCCUCUCUCCCUCUCUCUCUUCCUUUCUCUCUCUCUCCCUCUCCCUUUCUCUCUCCCUCUGCCUCUCUGUCUCUCUCUCCCUCUGCCUCUCUAUCUCUCUCUCUCUCCCUCUGCCUCUCUGUCUCUCUCUCCCUCUGCCUCUCUAUCUCUCUCUCUCUCUGUCUCUCUCCUUCUGCCUCUCUGUCUCUCUCUCCCUCUGCCUCUCUGUCUCUCUCUCCCUCUGCCUCUCUAUCUCUCUGUCUCUCUCCUUCUGCCUCUCUGUCUCUCUCUCCCUCUGCCUCUCUAUCUCUCUGUCUCUCUGUCUCUCUCCCUCUGCCUCUCUGUCUCUCUCUCCCUCUGCCUCUCUAUCUCUCUCUCUCUCUCUCUGUCUCUGUCUCUCUCUCCCUCUGCCUCUCUAUCUCUCUGUCUGUCUCUCUCUCAUGAAAUAUUGCUUUCAAAAUAUGCAGACGUCCAUGUAGGAGGAAAGGGGGAUGGAUUUUGGUGGUGAAAAAAAUCAAAUCUUUUAAGAUGAAGGAAACAGACUGAGAAAGAUAAGAUGAUCAUUCCAGUCCCUUCCUGCUCUAUAUUCUCUGUUCUAAGACCCUUCAAGUUGGAACAUUCUCUUUCUAUGGUCUAGCACUCAUAGUUCUCUGGAUCCUUCCAGUUCUCACACUCUUACUUUCCAAAGUCGCAGAAUCGCUCCUCUGGAAUUGAAAGAGACCUUUUCCUCCAGUCCUUUUAAUUCAUUAGAGGCUGAGAAAGUUGAAAUGAUUUGGCUAAAUUCAGUUAGGUAGAUAGAAAUAGGAAAAGAUCAGAAUUCAGAUUCUCUGACUCAUAAACCCUACAUGCUAAAGUCCUUCCCAGUCUUCAUAUUCUUUGCUCCAAGGUCUCUUCCACUUAUUACAGUCUAUCCUCUGAGGCAGAGAAGUAAAACUCAAGGCCAAGUAACAUAAAGCUUCUAAGGGUGGCCUGAACCAAUUAGAAUGUAAUAGAGGAAUGUUUAACAAAAUAAAUAGAAGUAUACUAUAACA